rnacentral:rRNA from 1 species
UACGAAGGGGGCUAGCGUUGCUCGGAAUCACUGGGCGUAAAGCGCACGUAGGCGGAUUGUUAAGUCAGGGGUGAAAUCCUGGAGCUCAACUCCAGAACUGCCUUUGAUACUGGCGAUCUAGAGAUCGAGAGAGGUGAGUGGAAUUCCGAGUGUAGAGGUGAAAUUCGUAGAUAUUCGGAAGAACACCAGUGGCGAAGGCGGCUCACUGGCUCGAUACUGACGCUGAGGUGCGAAAGGCGUGGGGAGCAAACAGG